rnacentral:tRNA from 1 species
GCCGGUGUGUCGGAAUGGCAGACGAUGCAGACUCAAAAUCUGUUGCUUGAGAGAGCGUGUGGGUUCGAGUCCCACCACCGGCA